AGCGAACGCUGGCGGCAUGCCUAACACAUGCAAGUCGAACGAGACCUUCGGGUCUAGUGGCGCACGGGUGCGUAACGCGUGGGAAUCUGCCCUCGGGUUCGGAAUAACUCGCCGAAAGGGGUGCUAAUACCGGAUGAUGUCGUAAGACCAAAGAUUUAUCGCCCAGGGAUGAGCCCGCGUAAGAUUAGGUAGUUGGUGAGGUAAAGGCUCACCAAGCCGACGAUCUUUAGCUGGUCUGAGAAGAUGAUCAGCCACACUGGGACUGGGACACGGCCCAG
rnacentral:rRNA from 1 species